AGCUGUUCACAGGAAGAAUACAGGAAAUCGAACACCAGAGGUCAGCACAGUCAGGGGGAGGCUGCGUUCCGCCGCGUCUAGCAGCGUGCCCAUCCUCAGGUGAGGCAAGGCACUGAACACCACUCUGGGCUUCACCUCAACAUCCUGGGCUUCACCUCAACAUCCUGGGCCUCACCUCAACACGGCGGGUUCAUGAGGAGGAAGAAGAAGAAUGGCAGAACAAAUAAGGUGAUGGAUGCGCGGACCAAACUCAAUACUGGCAUGUGGUGAGAGCAAACACAAUGGUGAGUUUUAAAUGGACGCUGUAUAGAUUUAUGGCUGGCGGAACAGAUGGUUAAUAACUGACUCACAGCGGCUGCCAUUUGGGGACUUAACUGACCUUUUGUGGAGUCCUUUACAUCCUUACGUAUCCUUGGGGCGCCACACGUAUCCAAGAACAGACAGAGGGAGGUAGACGGAUUGGCAGACAGUAUAGGACUCACAGACCCUACCUUUCGUGGACUUAGAGGAAGGUAUAGACAGGUGGGGAAGACAGAAUGACACGCACCGCCGCUAAUGACCAAGACAAAGACGGACAGACAAAGAGACAGACAAAGAGACGGACAGACAAUCAGGAAGACGUAAACACACAGACAG